rnacentral:rRNA from 1 species
UAGGGAAUCUUCGGCAAUGGACGAAAGUCUGACCGAGCAACGCCGCGUGAGUGAAGAAGGUUUCGGAUCGUAAAACUCUGUUGGUAGAGAAGAACGUUGGUGAGAGUGGAAAGCUCAUCAAGUGACGGUAACUACCCAGAAAGGGACGGCUAACUACGNGCCAG